UGGGAACGUGCCCAAAGGUACGGAACAACUCCGGGAAACUGGAGCUAAUACCGUAUGUGCCCGAAAGGGGAAAGAUUCAUCGCCUUUGGAUCGGCCCGCGUCUGAUUAGCUAGUUGGCGGGGUAAUGGCCCACCAAGGCGACGAUCAGUAGCUGGUCUGAGAGGAUGACCAGCCACACUGGGACUGAGACACGGCCCAGACUCCUACGGGAGGCAG
rnacentral:rRNA from 1 species